rnacentral:rRNA from 1 species
AGAGUUUGAUCAUGGCUCAGAAUGAACGUUGGCGGCGUGGAUUAGGCAUGCAAGUCGUACGAGAAAUUUCUUUUUGCUUGCAUUAAGAGAUGGACAGUGGCGAAAGGGAGAGUAACACGUGGAUAUCUGCCCCUGGACCCGGGAUAGCUGAGGGAAACUUCAGGUAAUACCGGAUAAUGUCUCCGGACCAAAGGUGUAAUUCCGUCCAGGGAUGAGUCCGCGUCCUACUAGCUUGUUGGUGGGGUAAUGGCCUACCAAGGCAAUGAUGGGUACCGGGUGUGAGAGCAUGACCCGGCUCACUGGGACUGAGACACUGCCCAGACACCUACGGGUGGCUGCAGUCGAGAAUCUUCCGCAAUGGGCGCAAGCCUGACGGAGCGACGCCGCGUGCGGGAUGAAGGCCUUCGGGUUGUAAACCGCUGUCAGUUGGGAGGAAAUGCCAUAGGGCACUCUCUAUGGUUUGACCGAUCUUCAGAGGAAGUCCGGGCUAAGUUCGUGCCAGCAGCCGCGGUAAGACGAACCGGACGAACGUUAUUCGGAAUUACUGGGCUUAAAGAGUACGUAGGCGGCCUUGCAGGUUGGGUGUGAAAUCCCACAGCUCAACUGUGGAACUGCGCUCAAAACCGCAAGGCUUGAGGGAAGUAGAGGUAAGCGGAACUGAUGGUGGAGCGGUGAAAUGCGUUGAUAUCAUCAGGAACACCGGUGGCGAAGGC